AAGUGGGCGGAGUAUAUAAGCGGCCGCUGUGCCCAGUCAGACAUGUGUCUUCCUCAUCAUCCACUGUGUGGCCCGCGUCUCUUGGGUUCCGGCGGAAGAAAAGGCAACAUAUCGCCAGUGUGGUGCAUGCUGUUUUGAUUCCCUGGUGGUGAAACGCUAUUGUGCUGCUCUCCUCUGCUUCCUCGUUCAGCGAGUGUGUGUGUGCGUUUUUGCCUGGAUUGACAGGUUUCCCCAUAUUCGAACCAUUGCUGCUCUUUUGGAUCCCGGAUUUUGCACGUCAUCAGUCAAACUUGGACUGUGGUGGCGCCUAUACGCCUUAAUUGGAGCGGUGUUUGGGGUGUGGCAUCGGCGCGCCGAGCUCGCUCCCUGUAGUGGCGUGACCAGAGCCACACCGGAUCUUAAUAUUUAACUUGGAUUUUC